GGAGUAAAAGGAGGUGUUGUCAAUUGCUGAUGAAGUUUAAUCACUGAGCACAUGGCUGGGACUUCUGUCAUUGAAAAGGGGUUGGAGAGGAUGCUAAGAACAUGUACCCCAACAACAGAAGACCCCAGUUUGGUUUCCAGCACCCACAUUGGGCAGCUCAAAACCAUCUAAAAUCCAGCUCCAGAGAACCCAACACCCUCUUUUGGCAUUAGUGAGUACCUGAACUCAGGAGAAGUGAACACAUGGACCCAUCCCUGAACCAAAAGCUGUCUCUAAUUGAUAACCCUUUGCAAAUGAAAAUUCAGUUGCUGCCAUAAGGAUCUCACUGAGGAAACCAACUACUCCUAAGGAUUCUUUGUGCCUGAAAAUGAACCUGCUGCUUGUGAGGCACUGAUCUUCUGGAAAGCACUGGCAACAAAUGAAGCAGAGGUUAAACCAACGUGAACCAUGAGAUGUUACCCCACCAUCUUCAAUUAGAGAUGCUAGCACGGCUGGCAGUGACAUAGAAUAAUAUGACUAAAGCUCAGCUAGCAAGCAUUAAGUACAGAGGAACCUUCCAGUUUAUGAUUCUUUCAAGCAAAUUAUUCAAAGGAUGCAGUGUUGCAAAAGAUGAUCUGAUAAAACCAAGAGCAAUUCCAAGCGAUAGCAACCCACUAAUAUUUAAACAAGGAAUGAAUCAUCAAACACUUUUAAGCUUGUAUAAGUCAUAAAGCAGAAAUGAUCAGAUUUCAUGAAUGGAAGUGAGGACAGAUAGAGGAGAGGUAAUAAUUUUUUAAAAUGGUUAAGAUUUGACUAA